rnacentral:lncRNA from 1 species
GGGGGCGCCACCCUCCCAGCAUGCGGAUGUGUCCACCAGCCCAGAAGCUCUCUGGAUCCUGUAGUUCAGGGAUUUUUACGGAGGCUUCAUUACUUACGCGUGAUGGAUUAUUAGCUCAAUCUCCAGCCCCUCUCCCUUUCCUGGAGGGUGGGGGUGGAGCCAAAAGCUCCAGGCUCCUCGUCGAAUCUGGGUCUUUCUGGUGCUCAGCCCCCAACCCCACCCAGGAGCCACUGAGAGUCACCUCAUUAAACCAAAGACAAGGGAUUAGGAGCUUUGUGUCAGGAACCCGGAAAGAGACCAAAUAGAAGUGAAUGUUUCUUAUUAUGUCACACAGCCACACCACGAGCACCAAAAACCACCCAGAAGACAGCUCAGUGGACCCUAGCAGUGGAUUCUACAUGUCUGCAGAAAAUGAGCAGAAAACAAGCCAGAGUUACAGCUAUCUGCAGAGAGACUACAUCCAGGAGGUCUGAAGACUGAAACUGACACCAUGAAUCACAGUGGAAUUCUCCAAAUGGAAUGCAGCCACACCUCAGCUUCUGUGCUGCGUGCUGCCACUGAGGACAUUCGAUACCAUUGAAGCCGUCAGAUAGAGGCCGUAUUUCAAAAGGUCUACGGUGGCUCCGUUUCUUCUCUGAGACUUCAAAAGUCCUUCAAGAGUGAGUUCCCGUCUCAUUCUAUGUCCAGGAUGAAGACGGAUGGCCUCUUGGCACCCAUCUCUUUGGCAUGAACGAUGUGGGGAAACGUGAAUGGAAAUGGGGAACUGUUGCUGGCACCCAGAAGUCAUCCGGUCCGGAUGAAGCCAAGUCACAAGGAAGUGCCUCCAAUUAUUCUUCAUAAAUUCCUCUGAGGUUUCACUUCUUGUCCACACAAGACUUUAAUAAAAUGUGGCAUCUAACUGAAUAAAGACUAUCCUUUCGGGU